UUAUGAUAACGAGUGACAAUAGCGUUCCAAUUUCGAGGAAAUUUCGACCAAAGUCUCUACCGAUAUAUAAGACCUGUAGCAAGUGGCAUACACCAAAGCACGAGCGGUUGCCGCAGCAGUGAGAAGUCUCAGCAACUCCGAUAAGUGUCUGAAAGCCAAGUGUGAGCAUCUUGAGGAUUCUAUCGUACCAAGGA